UACGUAGGUGACAAGCGUUGUCCGGAUUUACUGGGCGUAAAGAGCGCGCAGGCGGUCGAUCAAGUCGAGUGUGAAAGCCCCCGGCUCAACUGGGGAGGGUCAUUCGAUACUGAUCGACUCGAAGGCAGGAGAGGGUAGUGGAAUUCCCGGUGUAGUGGUGAAAUGCGUAGAGAUCGGCAGGAACACCCAGGGGGAAACCAGCCGACUGGGCAUCUACUGACGCUGAGGUGCGAGAGCGUGGGGAGCGAACCGG
rnacentral:rRNA from 1 species